rnacentral:misc_RNA from 1 species
GUGUGUACAUAUAAGUAGCCCAAAACAGGAAAGAAAAUUCACACCUCUGCUCUCCUUAGAUUCCGGACAGCUUUCUCACCGGAACUAAUCAUUCAAGCAAGAAGUCUCUAACGGUUCCCUCUAUUUCUCCCUCUCUGAAUCAUCAUUUCCUCUUUUUUUUUUUCUUUUUUUUUUUUUUUUUUGAGGGCGUUUUCGCUCGCUUAAUUCCUCUCUUGGGGGAUUUGAUUUUCCCGGAUGCUCAUGUCGUCCGGUGGUCCCGCCACCACCGCCGCCUCCACCAACGUUAGCCCCAGUAGCCACCCUGGACCCACCACCACUAGGCGACGCGUUGAUGCCGCAGAUAAGUCUUCUACCUUUUCCGACUAUUAUGAUGUUGUCUCUGACGAAGAAGACGCUCUUAACGGCUCUUCCGCUGGGUCCCAUCACCACCACCACCA